CAUGACCCCUAAAUAGAUAUAUAUGAAUUAUACUUAGUAUUAUCCAAGAAACAACUCACAAAAUCAAGAACACCCAAAAAAAAAGGGUUUCGGCCGAGAGCUAGAGAGAAAGAAAAGGAAAAAUCCCAAGCUUGUGUGGUGGUUCAAUAAUCUUGUUCUUUACAUAUUUGUGAAGUACUCAAGGCCCUCUUCAACGGGGUAUAAUUAGUUUGGCACGAGGACGACGUUUUCGACAAGUCGGGGUUUCAAGAAAGAUUUUUGACGAAACGGGACGAGACAUUUGGAAGAGCUUACGACGUCUGUGAGGUGCAGAUUCCGGUGAUCUUCCGCAGUAGGCUUCACCUUUUGCUUUCUCGGAGUACUCUUACUUGAUCCGGAGUCCACUCUUGUGAUGCCUCCGAAGAAGGCAACGGCGGCCCAGAAGGGCAAGGCGAGGGUUGGAGAGACUAGCCAGGCACAGCGAGCUACCCGGGCUCGUGUUUAUGAUUUGCCUGAGGACGUGCCACAGUCUGAGGGGUCUGCCACACCCCCACCAGUACAGCCUGGAGUAGGGCCAUCGGCAGCUCCAGAGGUUCGUGUACCCGCACCUGAGGCUCCAGCUCCUCAGCCAGGGGCGGAGGAUCGGACCCUGAGGGAGGCUGUGCAGUUACUGACUACGCUGG